rnacentral:ncRNA from 1 species
AAGCAUGAUGCGGGUGUUCAUUUCUGGAGCUCUUUCUUCUUUUAUGGGAAUUAGCAAAGGAUUUGUUCUGAGAUUAUACCGUAAAACUUGAUCAGGAUAAUGCCUGCGAAAGGAAUUCACAAUGCUUCCCU